rnacentral:misc_RNA from 1 species
GAUUCUGAAUUGGAGUAAUGUUUGAGAUGGAAAAUUCUGGGGGCCCACCCUAAUUCUAUGACACAGAUCCUAAAACUGUGGCAAAUGCUUUUUCAUCUCAAACAUUACUCCAAUUCAGAAUCCACAAGUUAUUUCUCAAAUGAAUGCCUAAAACAGAACAGACUUUAAUCCUUCCGAGUGUUGAGCACUACUGAUAUCAAAAAUAUGUUAACAAAAAAUCAAGGUGUUAGAUCUCACGCAGAAUUAGUAUUCUGCUUUGCCCCACUUGAGCGCCCACUUCUCCCUCUCCAUUCCUGGUAACCUUCACCUCUCCCAGUUGAACUCCUCCCUCGACCAGAAAAUUCACCCCAGUUUCCAAACUCAUUCCUGACAAAACCCCGGCCUCCACCAAAAUUUCCACGGCCCCUGAAGCUUUCGCUACGAAAUCCUGCCCUUCCAGAAGAAAACCUACCUCUUCCACUACCAACUCGAGUGGAGGUUCUCUUUAUCUCAAUAACUGCUUGACGCCCUCCGAUGGUCAUGGGUGAUGCCUUUAUAGCAUUGUUCAUUGAGCUCAAAGAAUGAAAUUCAACAAAACCAAAACAGUAUCCCUGUUGCUUAUUAUAUCUAACUUGGACACCAUCUUGCUUGAUCGGUCCAAAUUUCUUAAAUUCUACCUGAAGCUGAGCAGGCGUCAUGUUGUAGGGCAAAUUACGGAUAUAAAUGGAGUGGCCUUCAGCUUCAGCUUCCUCUUGCGCAUUGCUACUUUCAGGGGUUUCAGUGCUACUUGGUACUGAAGCUUCAGGCUCUGUGGCAGGUGCUACUGACACAGAGUGAUUCUCACGUUUCUUAGAACUCACUUUUACAGCAAAAGUGGGUACAUAAACUUUUGUUGGACCUGAACUUCCUCUUGGCACUUUAACAAUUGAUGCAUAAGAUUUCUUUGGAGUGUCCUCUUGAGUAGCAGAAGUUGAUUCAACAACUACAGAAACAUCAUUCCCAUUAGAAUGAGAUUGCGAUUCCACAACCACCUCCUUCUCAUAAAUUAACUGUUUCUCAGAGUCCACAGGAUCAUGAACUUCCUCAGCAACCUUUUUAUCUUGUUCCACAAUUGAUGUUGCUGGGUCUGGUGCAGGAGGAUCAGGAACAUGAGAAGGCUCUGAAUCUGGGAUUGAGGGGACUGUUGAGGCGUUAUCAAUACCAUUAUCUGGGUGAUUCUCCAAUGGUUCAUUAUCCUCCACAUACCUGAAAACAUCAUUCAAAACAAAAUACCCAUUGUCUUGUGGUGCAAGAAAAAAUGACUGAGCAAAUUUCCUUUUCAAGUUGUCCUUGCCCAUCAAGCAUCCAGUUACUAACACAGUAACCCCUUCUUUAUAGGAUUUUUGAGCAUCUGCUGUUUUUAUUUCCGCUUUAUAGUCCUUGAAAUUCAGUGAAAGUAUCUUCUCAUUGAUACCUUGCAUGGUUCCCACUGAUGUCAUCACACCAUUGGCAUCUGGCCGGCUGAGCACACUUGAAUCCUGAUAAAAUCUAUAAACCAAUUCUGGUGAGGUGUGAAGAAUAUGGUAAUAUUGCUCAACAAAAGCAUUUCCAACCACUUGGGCACUAGGGGUAGUUGGGUUGCUUGCUGAUUGUAAAGCCAUUCUGAUAUGAACUGUUAAAAGCUAGGAAGGAGAUUUGCGAGGAAGAGAUAGUAUAGUGCCUUGAAGAGUAGAGAGAGAGGCAAGGAAAGAGAAGAGAAGAAUAGUCA